rnacentral:lncRNA from 1 species
AUGUCCACAGGAAACAACAUGAUCCCGGAACCCCGGACAUUGUACAAGUGCUGUGGACAGGAGACCUAUAAUGAGGACCGGCGGUUGUGCUGUGGACGUCUGGGCAGUGAGAAGAUCCUUAUGAAGGAACACAAGGACAGCAUUUGCUGUGGAGACGUCCAGUACAACCCACAGACACAGCGCUGCUGCGGAGAUCCUCCUGAAAUAAAUGACCUCUCAAUUUCCUGUGAGACGGACUGUAAACAGGUUUUGACCCAAGAGCCUACAGCAAACAACAGGAUGUCGGGACCCCGGACAUUGUCCAAGUGCUGUGGACAGGAGGCCUAUAAUGUGGACCGGCAGUUGUGCUGUGGAAGUCUGCGCAAUGUGACGAUCCUUAUAAAGGAACAGAAGGGCAGCAUUUGCUGUGGAGACGUCCAGUACAACCCAGAGAAACAGGGCUGCUGUGGAGAUCCUCCUAAAAUAAAGGAACUCUCAGUUCCCUAUGAAACAGACUCAGAACAGGGUUUGACCCAAGAGCCCACAGGUUUGUUUCCUUCUCA